rnacentral:rRNA from 1 species
AACGAACGCUGGCGGCAGGCUUAACACAUGCAAGUCGAACGGCUCUUCGGAGCAGUGGCGGACGGGUGAGUAACGCGUGGGAAUGUGCCCUUUGGUACGGAACAACACAGGGAAACUUGUGCUAAUACCGUAUGUGCCCUUCGGGGGAAAGAUUUAUCGCCAUUGGAGCAGCCCGCGUUGGAUUAGGUAGUUGGUGAGGUAAAGGCUCACCAAGCCGACGAUCCAUAGCUGGUCUGAGAGGAUGACCAGUCACACUGGGACUGGGACACGGCCCAGACUCCUACGGGAGGCAGCAGUAGGGAAUCUUGCGCAAUGGGCGAAAGCCUGACGCAGCCAUGCCGCGUGUAUGAUGAAGGUCUUAGGAUUGUAAAAUACUUUCACCGGGUAAGAUAAUGACGGUACCCGGAGAAGAAGCCCCGGCUAACUUCGUGCCAGCAGCCGCCGUAAAAC